rnacentral:rRNA from 1 species
GGUUAAGCGACUAAGCGUACACGGUGGAUGCCCUGGCAGUCAGAGGCGAUGAAGGACGUGCUAAUCUGCGAUAAGCGUCGGUAAGGUGAUAUGAACCGUUAUAACCGGCGAUUUCCGAAUGGGGAAACCCAGUGUGAUUCGUCACACUAUCAUUAACUGAAUCCAUAGGUUAAUGAGGCGAACCGGGGGAACUGAAACAUCUAAGUACCCCGAGGAAAAGAAAUCAACCGAGAUUCCCCCAGUAGCGGCGAGCGAACGGGGAGCAGCCCAGAGCCUGAAUCAGUGUGUGUGUUAGUGGAAGCGUCUGGAAAGGCGCGCGAUACAGGGUGACAGCCCCGUACACAAAAAUGCACAUGCUGUGAGCUCGAUGAGUAGGGCGGGACACGUGGUAUCCUGUCUGAAUAUGGGGGGACCAUCCUCCAAGGCUAAAUACUCCUGACUGACCGAUAGUGAACCAGUACCGUGAGGGAAAGGCGAAAAGAACCCCGGCGAGGGGAGUGAAAAAGAACCUGAAACCG